AAUCAACGCUGGCGGCGUGCCUAACACAUGCAAGUCGAACGCGAAAGUCCCGCAAGGGAUCAGUAGAGUGGCAAACGGGUGAGUAACACGUGGUGACCUGCCUUCGAGUGGGGAUAACGUCCCGAAAGGGACGCUAAUACCGCAUGACAUCCUGCCUUUGAAGAGGCGGAGAUCAAAGCUGGGGAUCGCAAGACCUAGCGCUUGAAGAGGGCCCGCGUCCGAUUAGCAGUUGGUGGGUAAUGGCUCACCAAGGCGACGAUCGGUAGCCGGCCUGAGAGGGCGGACGGCCACACUGGGACUGAGACACGGCCCAGA
rnacentral:rRNA from 1 species